rnacentral:lncRNA from 1 species
GAAAGUUCUUAAAUACUCUCCCUCACUUUCCACUUAUCUUGUCUUCAAGUAGAGUAUAGCCUUUUAUUUACCUUUGAAAGUUACUGGUAAAUGUUUGAAAUCUGGAAUGAUUUCAAGUGAAAAUCUUGCUAAAUCAUGUAAAAGGACACAGAAAAACACCCACUGAUUUUUUUCUGUUUUAGAAACAUUAUCUCAUUAGGUUGUGAAACAAUUACAGUUAUCUGAAGGCACAAGCAGGGACAUUUAUCCUUCCCUCAAUGCAUAUGCAAGGUUGCAAUAAGCCCAUUAGAGCCUGUGAGAUUUAUGUGUGUUUAUAAUGGGAAUAACAGGCCCCAGUGUGUGGCACAGGGGAAGCAGGAGUAUGAACUCGAGACUGGAAGCCAACAGCUUGAGUUGUAAUUAAUGCUGAACGAGCAUUUUAAAACAAAUGCUUUCAGAAAAAAAAGUCUUGUUUUUUACUGUUUUGUGAAUUACCUUCCAGCUAGUCUAUAAUAUCAAAAUUUCUUUUUGGUUUACUUCUGUUGAGAGAAUCUCUCUCUCUUUUUUUUUUUUUUUUGUGAUGAAAGUUAUGUCAAAACUAUUCCUGAAAUACUCGGUGGCUUUCAGCUUUGCCAUUUGUACAGAAUUCUUUCCAGGCUGAUAUGAGAGAACAUAAACUUGACAGUGGCCACAAGUACUUCAUGUAGAGUGCUCAGGGAAGAAAAAAAGCUGGAUAUUUGAGGGCAUAGAGGAUGCAAGGGCAUUUGAAAAUCUUCAUCUUGUCAUCUUGAGACAAAUACGAGCUCUUAACUAUGUACUGUAGGAGAAUCUCAAAUUUAAUCAUACUUGUGUUCUUUCCACAGGCAAUCUGAAAGAUGUUGGUUUACUGGCUGUGUAGAAGACUUCGAAUUUACUCAUGUCAUUUUCUUACUAAGUAAUGCAGGGAGAGGCAGUGCUGGGUUCAGCUCUGCUCCCUGCAGCUCAGCUCCUGCGGUGUGCAGUACUCAUGUGCUUGUGACCACUUGGCCUUGUUUGUGAGGGCUAUGGUAAAGAUAUGACAGUCCUUAGUUUUCUUUGCAGAGAGUAUUCAGGUAUGUUUUCUAACCAAC